AUUUUCGUUGUGAAAAGGCUGAGAGGUUCCUGUUGUGUGGAGUUUAUCCCUUUUGAAACUUUCUCCAAGCAUCUCUUCCAUUACUGGGAAGCCCUUGCAGGUCGUGAACCCAGUCAAUUACCCUCCGAUGAAGACUAUUGGACUAAACAAAGGAAGGAGUCAGGUUCUAAGAGCUGUUCUUGAAAUCAGGGAAAAGAAAAGAGUCGCCAAGGAGCAGGUGUAUCUGGAUAACAUCCAAGGCAAUGAUCCUUAAAAAAGAUCAUUUUUAAGUUUUGAACUUUGGUUUUUCUUGUUCUCUUUUCAUUUGUUUUUGUUUUUGUUUUGUCUAUAUCAUGCUUAAUGAUCUAGUAUGUUUGAGGGCUUGUA